AUUGAACGCUGGCGGCAUGCCUUACACAUGCAAGUCGAACGGUAACAGGUCUUCGGAUGCAGACGAGUGGCGAACGGGUGAGUAAUACAUCGGAACGUGCCUAGUAGUGGGGGAUAACUACUCGAAAGAGUGGCUAAUACCGCAUGAGAUCUACGGAUGAAAGCAGGGAAUCGCAAGACCUUGUGCUACUAGAGCGGCCGAUGACAGAUUAGGUAGUUGGUGGGAUAAAAGCUUACCAAGCCGACGAUCUGUAGCUGGUCUGAGAGGACGAUCAGCCACACUGGGACUGAGACACGGCCCAGACUCCUACGGGAGGCAGCAGUGGGGAAUUUUGGACAAUGGGCGCAAGCCUGAUCCAGCAAUGCCGCGUGCAGGAUGAAGGCCUUCGGGUUGUAAACUGCUUUUGUACGGAACGAAAAGCCCUGGGUUAAUACCCUGGGGUCAUGACGGUACCGUAAGAAUAAGCACCGGCUAACUACGUGCCAGCCGCCGCCGUAAAAC
rnacentral:rRNA from 1 species